AUCCCAGCACUUUGGGAGGCCGAGGCAGGUGGAUCACCUGAGGUCAGGAGUUCGAGACCAGCCUGGCCAACAUGGAGAAACCCCGUCUCUACUAAAAAUACAAAAAUUAGCCGGGCGAGGUGGCGGGCGCCUGUAGUCCCAGCUCCUCGGGAGGGUGAGGCAGGAGAAUGGCGUGAACCCGGGAGGCGGAGCUUGCAGUGAGCUGAGA